GGGGUGAGUAACACGUGGGGUACCUACUCUGAGGUGAGGAAUACCACCGAGAAAUCGGUGACAAGACCGCAUACGCUUCGCAAGAAGCAAAGUCGUAAGACGCCACAGAAUGGGCCUGCGCCUGAUUAGCUGGUUGGUGGGGUAAAAGCCUACCAAGGCGUCGAUCAGUAGCUGGUCUGAGAGGAUGAUCAGCCACACUGGGAUUGAGAACGGCCCAG
rnacentral:rRNA from 1 species